CUUGUACUCCCUCCGUCCGAAAAUACUUGUCAAAGGAAUGGAUGAAUCUAGAUGUAUUUUAGUUAUAGAUACAUCCAAUUUUAUCUAUUUCUUCGACAAGUUUUUUGGGACGGAGGGAGUACUCA
rnacentral:pre_miRNA from 1 species